UUAUUAUUAUUUUUUUUUCAAAUUUUGUUACUGUCCUUCCUUUCUUUAAAUGUUGUGGCAUCUGAUGCAAAUCUUUCAGCAGAUUUUUUUUAUUUUUUAACGAAGUUCAGCAGAUAUUCUUACUGGAUAUGGAAGCUACACUUUUGCCUUUUAUUAAAAAAUGACACCAUUGUACAAAUGGUUCUUGCGUCUAAGGAUAUUA
rnacentral:misc_RNA from 1 species